rnacentral:tRNA from 2 species
GCGUCCUUAGCUCAGCUGGAUAGAGUACCUGGCUACGAACCAGGCGGUCGGAGGU